UUCCACAAGCUGCCUUGAGGCAUUGAAUCACUCCCUUUACCCGCCAUGCCAGUCCCCUCUGGAUGCUGUCAAGAACAAGAAAGAAAGGUUACAGUACAGUAAACCAUGAGUAGGUCCUGUACACUUCCUCAGGCAUCUUCAAAAAUACAAGAUAAGCAGGUUCUGCCGAGUCCAUUAAGAAUGUUAGCAAAUGGAAAAUAUCUCAACAUGCUAUAUCUAUGGAAGCUUUCAAUGCAAUUAGCAGAAAUCCAAUUUACGAUGCAUUCUUAUACUCAGGUGAGGGCUCAGAACAAAUUUCUUUCACAAAUACCAGUCAAAGAACAUGAAAGGCACUGCAGACUAAUUCAACCAGAGAAAUCAGCCAUAGCAGAGCACUUGAUGAACCAAUCUGGACACAGUAUAUUAUUUGAGAACACAUAAAUGCGUGACCAUUCCAACAACUAUGUCAGACUACAAAGAGAAGCCAUUGAAAUCCACAAGCAUGUGGACAACUUCAACAGAAAGGAGGAAACCAUGAAAAUGAACAAAAUCUGGCUACCAGUUUUAAAAAAUUCAAAAAUCAAAACAGUAGAUGGGAAGCAACACUCUGAGGGCAGAAGAGCCCCAAGGACGGCUAAUGACUCUUAACAAUGGAUGCCCCCCAGGCAAGAGACAAACCUUUCCAAUGCUAAUUAGGGUGAUUAACUGAAACAUUAACGCUGGCUUCCAACUGACAAGGACUCUUGUCACACCCUGGACUCUCCUGGACUCUUGUCACACCCUGGACUCUCCACAGAUAUAUAUUUUUCCUUCCUUGCCCAGUUUAUCUGAGGAUGCCUGCUAUAGAUGUGGGCAAAACGUCAGGAGAGAAUACUUCUGGAACAUGGCCACACAGCCCGAAAGGCAUACAACAACCCUGUGAUCCCGGCCAUGAAAGCCUUCGACAACAAAUUUCUUUCAGCAGUCCUGGGGAUUGUCCGCACAAAUAAAACAAACCUGGACUCAUCACAAAUUCAUGUGCACAGGGACUUCCAACAAGUAUCUCAGAUUUUCUGCCCUUAACCCAAUUUUGCUCUGCUUUAGGCAAAGUUGGGGGGCCCUCCAUAGCUUGUAGAACACUCCGAAGUAGGUGGCUAUCUGGAAAGCUGGUUAGCUUCUGUGAUGACUCAUGGGCCAUGUAGUCCCGUUCCUAGUACUGUUGUGACAGAUGAAGAGGAAAACUUGGGUUUCCCACCGUUUCUGCCAGAUUUGGAGCCCUUGCAGCUGCAGGAUGUUUGUCCACAAGAAGUCAGCCAAACAAGCCUUGAGGAGAAAUCUCCCCCAUUUUCUCGCCGCCUUUAUUAUAAUCAAGAUAGACAUGCUCGGGAGGCGACUCGCCGAAGCGCCCGGAUAGCUGCCAGACAAUUAGUUGAUUAAGUCUAUUUCCCUUGGGAAAGUUUA
rnacentral:lncRNA from 1 species